rnacentral:lncRNA from 1 species
UCUAGUAAGACGAUCAAUAGCAGAAUUAAGUUUGUCUUUGCUAUUGAGAGUGUUUUGAGCUUUAGAGUCGAGAUCCUUAAUAACAGUGGCCAGCAUCGUUGAUAAAGCCUUGCCUAAUGCAUCACUGUGGCUGUUAUUGGAUUCAGAUUCAGAUUCUUGAGGAUUAUUUUCGUUGGAAUCCGGAUUUUCACUCGUAGAAA